UACGUAGGGUGCGAGCGUUAAUCGGAAUUACUGGGCGUAAAGCGUGCGCAGGCGGUCUGUUAAGACCGAUGUGAAAUCCCCGGGCUUAACCUGGGAACUGCAUUGGUGACUGGCAGGCUUUGAGUGUGGCAGAGGGAGGUAGAAUUCCACGUGUAGCAGUGAAAUGCGUAGAGAUGUGGAGGAAUACCGAUGGCGAAGGCAGCCUCCUGGGCCAACACUGGCGCUCAUGCACGAAAGCGUGGGGAGCAAACAGG
rnacentral:rRNA from 1 species